AUUGAACGCUGGCGGCAGGCCUAACACAUGCAAGUCGAGCGGAGCGGCGGACGGGUGAGUAAUGCCUAUGAAUCUGCCUGGUAGUGGGGGAUAACGUCCGUAAACGGGCGCUAAUACCGCAAACUAUCGGAUUAGCCUAGAUCGGAUUAGCUUGUUGGUGGGGUAAAGGCCUACCAAGGCGACGAUCCGUAACUGGUCUGAGAGGAGGAGAAGUCACACUGGAACUGAGAGACGGUCCAGACUCCUACGGUAGGCAGCAGGGGGGAAUAGUGGACAAUGGGCGCAAGCCUGAUGCAGCCAUGCCGCGUGUAUGAAGAAGGUCUUCGGUUUGUAAAGUACUUUCAGUUGGGAGGCGUUACCCGCAGAAUAAGCACCGGCUAACUUCGUGCCAGCAGCCGCGGUAAUUC
rnacentral:rRNA from 1 species